UGGGACACCCUAUUUAUCUUUGACUUAUGCAUUUAAAGCACAGAAGACUGAAUUAGGAUAUCAGUAACUUACGAAACAGAGCGGCUGAGACCAUCGUCCGAUAUAGGCCUGUUGAGAUUAUCUGAAUCGGUAGCUGAAAUGACGUCAACAAGGAUGAUUCUAGUCUUACUGGUGGCACCAGCUUUCGUCAUGUCUAACGAAUGCCAGAAUAACAUCAACGGUUGCAGUGUCCCUUCGUUCCUUCAAGGAUUUGAAAAUAACAGAGAAUAUGUGGCAAUAUUCGAGUCAGUCUGUAAUCAACACGACAUGUGUUAUAACUGUGGAGCGGCGUUUGGAAUUAAUAGAAGCGGUUGUGACACCCGACUAUACCGACAUAUGGUAGACGUGUGUGACAGAACGGACGCUGCAUCCCUUCCUGGCGGAAAGCCACGUUGCUAUGACAGGGCAAAUGCAUUUAAAACUUCCGUCACUUUGUUUGGGUUUUGGUUUUAUCACAGCAAAGCUCUUAGUUGGUGCAACGAUAGGUGCACGGCAGAUUAUUUGGGAAAUGACCAAUUUUAAACUCUCACCUAUAUGCAAAUGUGACAGCUCAGAAAGCCAUCGAAUUAUAUUUCUCGUUUUGGAAAUACUCCAUUAAUUUUGACAAGAGUGUACCUGGCCUCUCAAUCAAACAAGCGACAGUGCUUAUGUGUAAGACGCUCUAACAGAAA